rfam:Salmo salar isolate Sally breed double haploid chromosome ssa15, whole genome shotgun sequence.
ACUGUAAGUGACUGUAAGUCACUCUGGAUAAGAGUGCCUGCUAAAUGACCAAUA